UUGCCUCGGCCCAGUGAUGCAGCUCCCUGACAGGGUCUGGAGUCCAUGGCACAGAGAAAUGCGAGACAAUAAAUAGAGGAGCUUCCUGGACACAUCAUCCACAACAGCAGGUCCUUGGAUACCAGCGCUACAGGCAACAUCACGUCAUUGUAGUGUUGAUGGGGGAAAAAAUCAAUUGCCAGCCAGGAGCACCGUCUGUGUGAAGUCUGCACAUUCUCCUGGCAUCUGUGUGGGUUUCCUCCCACACCCCAAGGACACAUACAUUAGGAUCACUGGCAUGCCCACAUGGUCCUUCGUGAGUAAGUGCGUGUGAGUCCCUGUGCUGGGAUGAUGGCCUGGCCAGGGGCGGUAACCACCUUGCACCUGAGCUCUGGACACCCACGACCUUGAACUGGAAUCCACAGAUUGGAAAAUAAACAAACGGAUGUAAAUUAUUUUAAAAAUGGAAACCUGUGACGUCUAUGAUAAUCAUACAAACGCAGAACAAUAAAAAAUGCAGACAAAA